GAUGAAGAACGCAGCGAAAUGCGAUAAGUAAUGUGAAUUGCAGAAUUCAGUGAAUCAUCGAGUCUUUGAACGCACAUUGCGCCCCCUGGUAUUCCGGGGGGCAUACCUGUUCGAGCGUCAUUUCACCACUCAAGCCUCGCUUGGUAUUGGGCAACGCGGUCCGCCGCGUGCCUCAAAUCGACCGGCUGGGUCUUCUGUCCCCUAAGCGUUGUGGAAACUAUUCGCUAAAGGGUGUUCGGGAGGCUACGCCGUAAAACAACCCCAUUUCUAAGGUUGACCUCGGAUCAGGUAGGGAUACCCGCUGAACUUAAGCAUAUCAAUAAGCGGAGGA
rnacentral:misc_RNA from 1 species